GAAAUGCGAUAAGUAAUGUGAAUUGCAGAAUUCCGUGAAUCAUCGAAUCUUUGAACGCACAUUGCGCCCUCUAGUAUUCCGGGGGGCAUGCCUGUCCGAGCGUCAUUGCGAACCCCUCAAGCACGGCUUGUGUGAUGGGCCCUCCCGCGUCUUGGUCGUCAAGACGGGCCCGAAAUGCAGUGGCGGCUUCGCGGUUAUCCGAUCAGCCAGAGCGUAUGGGGACUUUCUCUCUGUCACACGCCCGCGGCGCGGACCGACGCCUGUCGACCUUCAUUCAUCGUUUUCUCGGUUGACCUCGGAUCAGGUAGGGAUACCCGCUGAACUUAAGC
rnacentral:misc_RNA from 1 species